rnacentral:rRNA from 1 species
UACGAAGGGUGCAAGCGUUACUCGGAAUUACUGGGCGUAAAGCGUGCGUAGGCGGUUCGUUAAGUCCGUUGUGAAAGCCCUGGGCUCAACCUGGGAAUGGCAGUGGAUACUGGCGAGCUAGAGUGUGAUAGAGGAUGGUGGAAUUCCCGGUGUAGCGGUGAAAUGCGUAGAGAUCGGGAGGAACACCAGUGGCGAAGGCGGCUCUCUGGGACGGUACUGACGCUGAGGUGCGAAAGCGUGGGGAGCAAACAGG